CAGACAGUCACACACUCAGUCAGACACUCACAGGCAGUCACACACAGACACUCACACACACUCACACAGACAGUCACACAUUCACACAGGCAGUCACACAGACAGUCACUCACAGGCAGUCACACAGAGACACUCACACAGAGACAGUCACACACUCACACACAGUAACACAGAGACAGUCACACACUCACAGGCAGUCCCACACUCACACAGAGACA